UUUUCGCUUCUUUGUGCUUUUUGCUUUCACAUCUUUCACUACGUUCAGCUCAUUUAACAGUUUAGCUUAGUUUCAGCUUACUUCAGCUAUUCAACAACUUCAGCAAUCCGUUUCUGAAUUCGGCUUAUGCUACUCAGUUCACAGUUCAACAAAAAAUUAAACUGUUAAACUAGUCCUACUCAAACAACAAGUGUUUACACCUUUUUGCUUCCAGAUUUUUAAAUAAUGUUCAGAUUUCAGUUUUCUGCUGUUUAGGAUUGAUUUGUCCGGUCUUCACUUUUUGUGCUUUAUUUACAUUUUGGUGCUUUUUGCUUCUAAAUCUUUCAAAACAUUCAGCUCAUUUUAACAGUUUUGCUUAGUUUCAGCUUCAGCAAUUAGUUUCUGAAUUCAGCAUAUGAUGCUAAUUUCACAGUUCAGCUAAAUGUAAAAAUUAAACUGUUGAACUAGUCCUACUAAAAUAACAGGUGUUUAGACAUUUUACCUGUCCAAUUCUUUUAGACAGUGUUCACAGAUUUGAGUUUUCUGCUAUUUAGGAUUAGUUUUCUUGAUUCUUCACUUACUUUUUGUGCUUUUUUGCUUCUUUGUGCUUUUUGCUUUCACAUCUUUCACUACAUUCAGCUCAUUUAACAGUUUAGCUUAGUUUCAGCUUACUUCAGCUAUUCAACAACUUCAGCAAUCAGUUAGCAAAUUUAGCAUAUACUGCUAAUUUCACAGUUCAGCUAAAUGUAAAGAUUAAACUGUUAAACUUGUCCAACUGAUAUAACAGGUGUUUAGACAUUUAAGCUGUCCAGAUUUUUAUACAAUGUUCACAGAUUAAAGUUUUUUUUUUCUUGCUAUUUAGCAUUAUUUUUCUCUAUUCUUCACUUACUUUUUGUGCUUUAUUUACAUUUUGGUGCUUUUUGCUUCUAAAUCUUUCAAAACAUUCAGCUCAUUUUAACAGUUUUGCUUAGUUUCAGCUUCAGCAAAUAGUUUCUGAAUUCAGCAUUUGAUGCUAAUUUCACAGUUCAGCUAAAUGUAAAAAUUAAACUGUUGAACUAGUCCUACAAUAACAGGUGUUUAGACAUUUUACCUGUCCAAUUCUUUUAGACAGUGUUCACAGAUUUGAGUUUUCUGCUAUUUAUAAUUAGUUUUUUUGAUUCUUCACUUACUUUUUGUGCUUUUUUUUUGCUUCUUUGUGCUUUUUGCUUUCACAUCUUUCACUACGUUCAGCUCAUUUAACAGUUUAGCUUAGUUUCAGCUUACUUCAGCUAUUCAACAACUUCAGCAAUCCGUUUCUGAAUUCGGCUUAUGCUACUCAUUUCACAGUUCAACAAAAAAUUAAACUGUUAAACUAGUCCUACUCAAACAACAAGUGUUUACACCUUUUUGCUUCCAGAUUUUUAAAUAAUGUUCAGAUUUUAGUUUUCUGCUGUUUAGGAUUGAUUUGUCCGGUCUUCACUUUUUGUGCUUUAUUUACAUUUUGGUGCUUUUUGCUUCUAAAUCUUUCAAAACAUUCAGCUCAUUUUAACAGUUUUGCUUAGUUUCAGCUUCAGCAAUUAGUUUCUGAAUUCAGCAUAUGAUGCUAAUUUCACAGUUCAGCUAAAUGUAAAAAUUAAACUGUUGAACUAGUCCUACUAAAAUAACAGGUGUUUAGACAUUUUACCUGUCCAAUUUUUUUAGACAGUGUUCACAGAUUUGAGUUUUCUGCUAUUUAGAAUUAGUUCUCCUGAUUCUUCACUUACUUUGUGUGCUUUUUUGCUUCUUUGUGCUUUUUGCUUUCACAUCUUUCACUACAUUCAGCUCAUUUAACAGUUUAGCUUAGUUUCAGCUUACUUCAGCUAUUCAACAACUUCAGCAAUCAGUUACCAAAUUUAGCAUAUACUGCUAAUUUCACAGUUCAGCUAAAUGUAAAAAUUAAACUGUUAAACUAGUCCUACUGAAAUAACAGGUGUUUACACAUUUUAGCUGUCCAAUUUUUUUAAACAGUGUUCACAGAUUUGAGUUUUCUGCUAUUUAGGAUUAGUUUUCUUGAUUCUUCACUUACUUUUUGUGCUUUUUUGCUUCUUUGUGCUUUUUGCUUUCACAUCUUUCACUACAUUCAGCUCAUUUAACAGUUUAGCUUAGUUUCAGCUUACUUCAGCUAUUCAACAACUUCAGCAAUCAGUUAGCAAAUUUAGCAUAUACUGCUAAUUUCACAGUUCAGCUAAAUGUAAAGAUUAAACUGUUAAACUUGUCCAACUGAUAUAACAGGUGUUUACACAUUUUAGCUGUCCAAUUUUUUUAAACAGUGUUCACAGAUUUGAGUUUUCUGCUAUUUAGGAUUAGUUUUCUUGAUUCUUCACUUACUUUUUGUGCUUUUUUGCUUCUUUGUGCUUUUUGCUUUCACAUCUUUCACUACAUUCAGCUCAUUUAACAGUUUAGCUUAGUUUCAGCUUACUUCAGCUAUUCAACAACUUCAGCAAUCAGUUAGCAAAUUUAGCAUAUACUGCUAAUUUCACAGUUCAGCUAAAUGUAAAGAUUAAACUGUUAAACUUGUCCAACUGAUAUAACAGGUGUUUACACAUUUUAGCUGUCCAAUUUUUUUAAACAGUGUUCACAGAUUUGAGUUUUCUGCUAUUUAGGAUUAGUUUUCUUGAUUCUUCACUUACUUUUUGUGCUUUUUUGCUUCUUUGUGCUUUUUGCUUUCACAUCUUUCACUACAUUCAGCUCAUUUAACAGUUUAGCUUAGUUUCAGCUUACUUCAGCUAUUCAACAACUUCAGCAAUCAGUUAGCAAAUUUAGCAUAUACUGCUAAUUUCACAGUUCAGCUAAAUGUAAAGAUUAAACUGUUAAACUUGUCCAACUGAUAUAACAGGUGUUUAGACAUUUAAGCUGUCCAGAUUUUUAUACAAUGUUCACAGAUUAAAGUUUUUUUUUCUUGCUAUUUAGCAUUAUUUUUCUCUAUUCUUCACUUACUUUUUGUGCUUUAUUUGCUUGUUGGUGCUUUUUGCUUCUACAUCUUUCAAGACAUUCAGCUCAUUUUGACAGUUUUGCUUUGUUUCAGCUUCAGUUAAGCUGUUCAGCAGCUUCAGCUCAGCUGUUCAGCAGCUUCAGCUUACAGUUUCAGCUAUCCAGCAUUCAAACAGCAUUUGUGCAAUAAAUGCAAUUUUUCUAGUUCUUCUUCUUCUUCUUCUUAUUCUGCUUCCGUACACUUUUUGAACCGCUUCUUCUCCUUCAAAUUUUGAGCUAUUUCAACUAUUUUAUACCAAAACGUUCAGCUCGUUUAGCUCUUUCCGGCUAUUACUUUUGGCAUUGAUAUCUUUAAAAUUUUUCGAGUUAUUAAGCUUUUUCUGCAAAAAAUUUCCCAUUGAAAUGAAUGGGAUUGGUCAAUUUUCAGCAAAUUCCUAUCACCUUUUUGACCUAAAA